CAGUCGCCACGGUAAUACCGAGGAUGCAAGCGUUAUUCGGAAUGAUUGGGCGUAAAGCGUCUGUAGGUGGCUUUUCAAGUCCGCCGUCAAAUCCCAGGGCUCAACCCUGGACAGGCGGUGGAAACUACCAAGCUGGAGUACGGUAGGGGCAGAGGGAAUUUCCGGUUGAGCGGUGAAAUGCGUUGAGAUCAGAAAGAACACCAACGGCGAAAGCACUCUGCUGGGCCGACACUGACACUGAGAGACGAAAGCUAGGGGAGCAAAUGGGAUUAGAUACCCGCGUAGUCCCUGUCUCUUAUAC
rnacentral:rRNA from 1 species